GGGCAUACCGCGGCCAAGCGUCUCAAUAUGGUGACCUCCCGGGAGCGGGGAGCCACCAGGUUGCCUAAGGAGGGGUGAACCGGCCCAGGUCGGAAACGGAGCAGGUCAAAACUCCCGUGCUGAUCAGUAGUGGGAUCGCGCCU
rnacentral:sRNA from 1 species